CCAGCAGCCGCGGUAAUACGUAGGUGGCAAGCGUUAUCCGGAAUUAUUGGGCGUAAAGCGCGCGUAGGCGGUUUUUUAAGUCUGAUGUGAAAGCCCACGGCCCAUUUAUGGAGGGUCAUUGGAAACUGGAAAACUUGAGUGCAGCAUAGGAAAGUGGAAUUCCAUGUGUAGCGGUGAAAUGCGCAGAGAUAUGGAGGAACACCAGUGGCGAAGGCGACUUUCUGGUCUGUAACUGACGCUGAUGUGCGAAAGCGUGGGGAUCAAACAGGAUUAGAUACCCUGGUA
rnacentral:rRNA from 1 species